AAGGGAGACCUACCGACAGUGAGGCGAAACUAAAUAUAGAGCCCACAAGUUCGGAUAUCCCUGGUCGUGCAAGGGGCGGCAUAUAGCUUUCAAACUCUGUAAUGGUUCAGUGCAAGGGCUAUUAGCUCAGGUGGUUAGAGCGCACCCCUGAUAAGGGUGAGGUCCCUGGUUCGAGUCCAGGAUGGCCCACCUCAAAAAAUCUGGGGGGUAUAGCUCAGCCGGUAGAGCGCUGCCUUUGCAAGGCAGAUGUCAGCGGUUCGAGUCCGCUUACCUCCACCAAGACAAUUCAGCACCGCUUAUAGAGCGAAUGCUGGAUGGAAGUCCAGUGAGAACCUAGAAAACUGCAUAGAGAAAAGUCAAAGGUAAAGAAUUAAUCAUGUCCAGGGAGUCAAAGACUUCCUAAA
rnacentral:tRNA from 1 species